GAAACAGGUUAAUAUUCCUGUACUUGGUGUUACUGCGAAGGGGGGACGGAGAAGGCUAUGUUGGCCGGGCGACGGUUGUCCCGGUUUAAGCGUGUAGGCUGGUUUUCCAGGCAAAUCCGGAAAAUCAAGGCUGAGGCGUGAUGACGAGGCACUACGGUGCUGAAGCAACAAAUGCCCUGCUUCCAGGAAAAGCCUCUAAGCAUCAGGUAACAUCAAAUCGUACCCCAAACCGACACAGGUGGUCAGGUAGAGAAUACCAAGGCGCUUGAGAGAACUCGGGUGAAGGAACUAGGCAAAAUGGUGCCGUAACUUCGGGAGAAGGCACGC
rnacentral:rRNA from 1 species